rnacentral:rRNA from 1 species
CCAGCAGCCGCGGUAAUUCCAGCUCCAAUAGCGUAUAUUAAACUUGUUGCAGUUAAAAAGCUCGUAGUUGAACUUUUGCGUUGUCCUUUUCCUGCUUUGUGCGGGUUAUUGACUUCGCUUUUUCUUUUUACUUUGAGAAAAUUAGAGUGUUUAUCGCAGACUUUUGUCUUGAAUACUUCAGCAUGGAAUAAUAGAGUAGGACUUUGGUUCUAUUUUGUUGGUUU